UCCAGACUCCUACGGGAGGCAGCAGUGAGGAAUAUUGGUCAAUGGGCGGGAGCCUGAACCAGCCAAGUCGCGUGAGGGAUGACGGCCCUAUGGGUUGUAAACCUCUUUUGCCGGGGAGCAAAGUGCCGCACGUGUGCGGUUUGGAGAGUACCCGGAGAAAAAGCAUCGGCUAACUCCGUGCCAGCAGCCGCGGUAAUACGGAGGAUGCGAGCGUUAUCCGGAUUUACUGGGUGUAAAGGGAGCGUAGACGGCUGUGCAAGUCUGAAGUGAAAGCCCGUGGCUCAACCGCGGAACUGCUUUGGAAACUGUAUAGCUUGAGUACUGGAGAGGCAGGCGGAAUUCCUAGUGUAGCGGUGAAAUGCGUAGAUAUUAGGAGGAACACCAGUGGCGAAGGCGGCCUGCUGGACAGAAACUGACGUUGAGGCUCGAAAGCGUGGGGAGCAAACAGGAUUAGAUACCCGAGUAGG
rnacentral:rRNA from 1 species